rnacentral:tRNA from 1 species
GGGGAUGUAGCUCAAAUGGUAGAGCGCUUGCUUUGCAUGCGAGAGGUACAGGUUCGAUACCUUGCAUCUUCA